rnacentral:misc_RNA from 1 species
AAGUCGUAACAAGGUUUCCGUAGGUGAACCUGCGGAAGGAUCAUCAUUGAUGCGUAGCGAAUCGACACACACCUGUGAAUUGAAGAUGCGUGAGUGGUGGGGGGGGUGUAGAAGAGAGGGGGAGAAGGAAACGCGCAGUCAUCGAAUGAGGUUGGCAGGCAGUCUUUGCGCGGCAGCCAUAUCAUGUUCAUGUAUGGUAGCUGAGCGAGUCGUGUGUGCCGACAGCAUACGAGUAGGCGGCGCGACCCAACCCACACCCUUCAACUCUUACCACCACCACAACAUUUACAAACACCCAGUAUAUACUACACCACUGUCUGAGUAAACACACAAACAAACAAACAUACAACUUUCAACAAUGGAUCUCUUGGUUCUC